UUCGCAAUGCCCGAAAGGGUGACGAAGCGACGCCGCGUGUGGGAAGAAGGCCUUCGGGUUGUAAACCACUGUCGGGAGUUAAGAAAUGCAAGGAUAUUAAUAGUGUCUUUGUUUGACUAAGGCUCCGGAGGAAGCCACGGCUAACUCUGUGCCAGCAGCCGCGGCAAUACAGAGGCGGCAAGCGUUGUUCGGAAUUAUUGGGCGUAAAGAGCACGUAGGCGGCUAUGUAAGUCGGUUGUGAAAGCCUUCCGCUCAACGGAAGAACAGCAUCCGAUACUACAUGGCUUGAGUGCGGGAGGGGAGAGUGGAACUUCUGGUGGAGCGGUGAAAUGCGUAGAUAUCAGAAGGAACGCCGGCGGCGAAAGCGGCUCUCUGGCCCAUAACUGACGCUGAGUGUGCGAAAGCUAGGGGAGCAAACGGGAUUAGAUACCCCGGUAGUCCUAGCCGUAAACGAUGGGCACUAAGUAGAGGGGUUUU
rnacentral:rRNA from 2 species